rnacentral:sRNA from 1 species
CCCUAGCCCUCAUGGAAGCGGCAUCCUUUUUCUUGUUAUUCUGACCUAAGGAAGAAUCACAAGAAAAAGAUACAGCGUAGAGCAGGAAAAAGC